GGGGCUGAUUCUGGAUUCGACGGGAUUUGCGAAACCCAAGGUGCAUGCCGAGGGGCGGUUGGCCUCGUAAAAAGCCGCAAAAAAUAGUCGCAAACGACGAAAACUACGCUUUAGCAGCUUAAUAACCUGCGCUGAGCCCUCUCUCCCUAGCUUCCGCUCUUAAGACGGGGAUCAAAGAGAGGUCAAACCCAAAAGAGAUCGCGUG
rnacentral:tmRNA from 1 species